rnacentral:rRNA from 1 species
GACGAACGCUGGCGGCGUGCUUAACACAUGCAAGUCGAACGGAAAGGCCCUGCUUUUGUGGGGUGCUCGAGUGGCGAACGGGUGAGUAACACGUGAGUAACCUGCCCUUGACUUUGGGAUAACUUCAGGAAACUGGGUCUAAUACCGGCUAGGAGCUCCUGCUGCAUGGUGGGGGUUGGAAAGUUUCGGCGGUUGGGGAUGGACUCGCGGCUUAUCAGCUUGUUGGUUGGGUAGUGUCUUACCAAGGCUUUGAGGGGUAGCCGGCCUGAGAGGGUGGCCGGCCACGUUAGGACGGAAAUGAGGCCCGGACUAGUACGGGAGGGAACAGUGGAGUAUAGAGUACUAUAGGAUGGAGCCUAACGCAGCAACGCAGUGCGCGGGAUGAGGUGCAGCGGGUAGUGAACCGAAGUCGCCUUUGACGAAGCGUUAGUGACGGUAAUGGGUAAAUAAGCACCGGCUAACUACGUG